UUCAGCCUAUUCUACAAGAAGUUGCGGAUACUUUGGCUCAAAAACAUGUUGCUGUUAUCCAUAACAUUAGGAUUGUUAAUGGUUCUAAGCUAAGAAAGCUUUUGACCAAUGAAAAGCAACUGAACAAUGUCACAGAGAAGAUAUUGCAGGAGAAGCGCAGCAAGAAGGAUGACCAAAAGAACACAGAAAUAAUAAGGGGUUUCCUGGAGGAAAAUGGAAAAGAGUUGGGCUUGCCACCAUCAGAAGCCAACGAAGCAGUGGUCCUUCUUUAUGAUGCAGUGCUUGCUGAUGUACAGAGUGGAAAAUGUGAUGCAGAAUCAGAGGAUGUAUUUGGGGAACUCGUGAAGGAAAUUCUUGAGAAGUUUGCAGAGCAGCUCGAGGCCAAUCCUAUCUACUGUGAUCUUGACAAUUGAGGGGUGGCAACUGGCAAGUUGGUAUCUUUAUAGAGUUGUUUGGCUAAGCGAUUGUUGUUUGUGCAGCAUUAUCACCAACCUCUCGAUUUUAAUAUUUAUGUAUAUUUGCAUUAAAUGUUUAUAACCAUACAUUUACAUACGAGUAUACAUGGUAACAUUAGGCCAAUGUCUUGGUUUUGAUUCUUCCACAACAUACUUUGGAAUGGCUGAGUUGAUCAAUAAAUUUCAACAUAGG
rnacentral:misc_RNA from 1 species